UACGGAGGGGACUAGCGUUGUUCGGAAUUACUGGGCGUAAAGCGCACGUAGGCGGAUUUGUAAGUCAGGGGUGAAAUCCCGGGGCUCAACCUCGGAACUGCCUUUGAUACUGCAAAUCUCGAGUCCGGAAGAGGUGAGUGGAAUUCCUAGUGUAGAGGUGAAAUGCGCAGAUAUCAGGAAGAACACCGAUGGCGAAGGCAGCUCUCUGGGACGGUACUGACGCUGAGACGCGAAAGCGUGGGGAGCGAACAGG
rnacentral:rRNA from 1 species